rnacentral:lncRNA from 10 species
CCAAGCAUGAUGGCAGGCGCCUGUAAUCCCAGCUACUCGGGAGGCUGAGACAGGAGAAUCGCUUGAACCUGGAAGGUGGAGGUUGCAGUGAGCUGAGAUUGCACCAUUGCACUCCAGCCUGGGCAACAAGAGCAAAACUCCAUGUCAAAAAAAAAAAAAAGAAAAAAAAGAAUAUGUUUUCUAAUAGCUGGGUGUUUGUGGGGGCGCAGUCAGGCUGGUGGGAAAAAUUUUAGUUUUAGAAAAUAUACACAAACCCUUCUGGAGGGCUGGGAGUUUUUACAUACAGUACUUGGCUGAAGGCAGCCUUGUCCCCUUAGUUAAGUAAAUUAGAUUAGAAAAGGAAUGUGGGGAGUUUAUCUCACUAGCUUGUUUACCCAUGUGGUCCUAAGACUAACCUUUGAUUUACCGGGUUCU